ACAACAAUUAGUGCCGAGCAGAUGAGGGCCGUCUAGGUUCCUUGAUCGAAAAGCCACAUAUCAACCCCAGUUGAUAUAUAAGUAUCGGAACAAACCCCCCACCCCCGUCUCACACCUCAAUCGACUUCCUCAGCCUUCCCUUAUCACAAAACCUUAGAACCCACUACCCCAAAUUCCCUCGCCGGCGAUGGUGACGCCACCUCCAAACGCCAGUAUAUUAACACCCCAAACUCCUCUUCUCAUCCUCUUUCCAAAUAUGCAAACGACUUCCCUCAAACCCCAUCCAAACUCGUCGAAUAUCCGUUCAAAGAUUUUUCGGCAAUGAUGCCACCAGUCCCAAACUCCACCAAAUUUACACCCUUACCCCAUCCCUCGAAUCCCACCGGAGCUGUUUUAUCAGUUUAAAUUUUUUUCGGCCAAAACCCUAGCCACACCAACUCGCCCAAAUCGAUACCAUACGUUUCCCGAGAUUCUCUCAUAAGGAAUUCAUCAUCAGUUGAUCUCAAAUGCCAUCUGAAAUGGAUGAAUUGAGAGUGAUAACUGGUCGUAGUUCUUUAUCAGUGAGUCUGCUUUUCUUUUUGUGUUUUGUUUUCCUUAGUUCUUAAUUAGUUUAAGUUGUAUUGUUCUUUGCUGAUAAUUCCAUAUUCUUUCAAUUUCUAUAUUAAUUUUAGCCUAGUUCAAUCCGAGUUAAUGGUGUUCAUUAGAACAAUUGUCUAAGUUACUUUUUGUUUUAUCAAUUAUGUGUUGUUUCAUGUUCUAGCUGACUGAUUAAGUUUAGUUUGUUUAAUUUCUGGUUUAAUAUGAUUGGAAUCCUUUCUGUUUGAUUAGGUGUUGUUUAUGUUCUUCAAGUUAUCUUAAUUUUUGUUUAAGUUUCUUUUAAGCCUUAAUUAGUUUAAUGCUAGUUUAGGUUCAAGAGAUUGGUUAUAGUUGUUAGUUUUGUUUAGUAUUAAGGGGGUUUUGGUCAAUUAAUUUGGGGUCAGUUGAACAGGGAAUUAGUUUCAGGAUUAGUCAGGGGCAAAUUGGGUAUUUGGGAUGGAAGAAUCAUGUUCAAGUUAGUACUAGAAUUCCCUAGAUCUUUCUAGAUAGGGAUAUAAGUGAAGUUUUAGGAAAGUUCAAGGUACUAACUUGUGUAACAAGUUAAAAAUAGGGAAUUAAAAGCUGCAAAUAAGUGAGGACUAAAAAUAAAAUACAAAAUUUGAAAUUCCCUCAUGUAUGCCUAUAAAAGGGGCAUUUCUGUGCCUUGUUGAAAAGGUUUGUAGACACUCUGAAAAUUCCCAAGGUUUUUCAGCUCAAAAAUUCCCUAAAAGGCUCUCUUUAGUUUUAUGAUCUAGAUUUGGAAUUCAGUAUCUAAAAAAGAAACCAAAAACAAAUAGAAAAAUAGAAUAAAAAAUCC
rnacentral:lncRNA from 1 species